GCACAAUGGGCGCUAAGCCUGAUGCAGCCAUGCCGCGUGUAUUGAAGAAGGCCUUCGGGUUGUAAAGUACUUUCAGCAGUGAGGAAGUGGGUAUGUUAAUAGCAUACUCAUUUGACGUUAGCUGCAGAAGAAGCACCGGCUAACUCCGUGCCAGCAGCCGCGGUAAUACGGAGGGUGCGAGCGUUAAUCGGAAUUACUGGGCGUAAAGCGCAUGCAGGUGGUUUGUUAAGUCAGAUGUGAAAGCCCGGGGCUCAACCUCGGAAUUGCAUUUGAAACUGGCAAACUAGAGUACUGUAGAGGGGGUAGAAUUUCAGGUGUAGCGGUGAAAUGCGUAGAGAUCUGAAGGAAUACCGGUGGCGAAGGCGGCCCCCUGGACAGAUACUGACACUCAGAUGCGAAAGCGUGGGGAGCAAACAGGAUUAGAUACCCUGGUAG
rnacentral:rRNA from 1 species